GCCUGGGUGGCUUGGUCGGUUAAGCAUCUGACUUCGGCUCAGGUCAUGAUCUCACGGUCCGUGAGUUCGAGCCCCACGUCGGGCU
rnacentral:tRNA from 1 species